AAAAUUUUCACGAUUAUAUUAACGACGGAAAGUUCAACGUUUUCAGGAAGAUAUCGAUCCAAUAUUUUGGUCGACUCUUUGUUACCAUAUAUUUCUUGAUUUUCAAGCCUAAAAAAAUCGAUUAGUCCAGAAAAUAAGCAAGGCUUACAGCGACCUGUUGAAUCGAGUAAACGGGGCCGUAAUUACCAUUUUGAUCAACUAAAUUAGCCAACAAUGGUACCAAAGCAGCAUCAGCUAUACCAAUGCCCAAACCCAUUCCAAAAUGUGGAAAUAUCAAUUGCGACAUGGUCAUUGCCGAUGGUAUCAAAAUGGCGCUGAUGCCAACCAGUAGCAUGGCCAAGAUGGCGACUCUACUGCGUCCAUAACGGUAGGCCAUCAUACCAAAAAAGUUUGUGCCUAUUAAAUAUCCAACGCUGUCCGGUAUGAAGACUGUUCCCAGCUGCCAUUUCUAUAAGGAAUAUAAUAAUAUUAAAAUGAAUGUAUUUUUAUUCUUCAUGUAAAACUUUAUUUACCUUAGGUUUUAUAUGGAUACGAAGCCAAAUUGGUAAACAUGGUUCCAAUAUAGCCAUUGGUGAAGUCGAACACCAAAUUGCACCAGCGAUUAUAAUAACAAAUGGAUCUGAUAAUAGUUGUCUCCAGUUUGUUUCAUUGUUGGACGACUUACAGGAUAAUAGAAUCAUACAUUAAAAUCAAAUUGAUUUUAAAUCUAAUUAAGAUUAUAGAGAUAAAUAAAUUGAAUAAAAUUUAAUUAAGAUUAUAGAGAUAAAAUUUACUUCUAAAUUAAAUCUUAUUAAUUAAAGCUUACCUCUAUGUCAGUCUGAAUGUCGAGUGUUGAUAUCUGCAAACCUGUUGAAAGAAAAAAAAAAAAAAGAAAUACGAAGAAUUAACAAGAGAUAGAAAAAUGUAUGUAA